UACGUAGGGUGCGAGCGUUGUCCGGAAUUACUGGGCGUAAAGAGCUCGUAGGUGGUUUGUCGCGUUGUCCGUGAAAACUCACAACUCAAUUGUGGGCGUGCGGGCGAUAUGAGCAAACUAGAGUGUUGCAGGGGAGACUGGAAUUCCUGGUGUAGCGGUGAAAUGCGCAGAUAUCAGGAAGAACACCCGUGGCGCAAGCGACCGCCUGGCCGAGGGCUGACACUGAGGCACGAGAGCGUGGGGAGCGAACCGG
rnacentral:rRNA from 1 species